rnacentral:rRNA from 1 species
AUGGAGAUGGAGAUGGAGAGAGUUUGCAAGAGACGGCCGGGCAUGCCUCCUGCUCUCCUUCUCGCCCUUCACGGCAUGGAUGAGCAGAUGCCUGCGUCAUCGACUGCAGCGGCCGUGCCUCCGCCGCAGACCCCCGUUGAGCCCAUGGAAUACCUGUCCAGGUCCUGGAGCGUCUCCGCCGAGGAGAUAUCCAAGGCCCUGCGGCUCAAAGGGGCCACCAAGCGGAGCUUCCUCGCCCCCGUCGACACUCUUCUUCCACCACGCACGGCCACCAUACCGGAUACGGAGACGUCCUCCUACGAGCUCGUCGCCUCCCCUGCCGCUUCCGUUCACCAGCUCCAGCGCCAACAACAUCUAGAUGCAACAGGGAGGAGCUCCAUCAGCUGCCACCGCCACUCCAACUCAGUGACCAGAUGGUACUUCCAGCACAAGGAGACCGCCAAGCACGGCAGAAAGGAGAAGGCGCGAGCCGACCUGGCCCAGGCACAUGCCAUGGUCUCCGUGGCCCAGGUAUCCGCCGCGGUUGCCGCCGUCACCGCGGCCACCAGCCGGGACAAUCAAGACUCCAAGAUAGCUGCAGCCAUGGCGUCGGCCACCAAGCUGCUGGCUUCGCACUGCGCUGAGGCGGCCCAGCUUGCAGGGGCUGGUCAUGAGCAGGUGUCCUCUGCUGUCCGCUCUGCGGUUGGUGUCACGGGCCCGGGUGAUCUGAUGACGCUCACAGCGGCCGCAGCGACAGCUUUGAGAGGAACUGCGACGCUGAAGAAGAGGGUCCAGCGCGAGGCCAGAAGCAAUGCAAGCGUCAGUCCUUAUGAGAAGGCCCCUCUGUCCUGGAGUCCUGAUAUCUGGUGCAAGGAAGGCAAGCUACUAAAACGAACAAGAAAAGGGGAUUUACACAAGAGACGGGUAUCAAUCUACAUCAACAAGAGGUCACAGGUCAUAUUGAAGCUGAAGAGCAAACACAUUGGAGGUGCACUAUCAAAAAACAAUAAAAGUGUGGUUUAUGGGGUAUACAGUGAGCUCCCAGAGUGGACUGAGCCAGGGAAAUGUUUACCAGAGACAUGCUGCUUUGGCUUGAGUACAGCACAGGGCCUGAUUGAGUUCAAGUGUGAGAGCAGCACCAGUAAACAGAGCUGGGUUCAUGGCGUGCAAAAUCUGCUCCAGCAGGUUGAUGUAGCUGACCAAGUAGGGCACAGGCUAGAAACACUAAAACUCAACUGGUGCAGUUAG